UCGAGAAUCUUUCGCAAUGGGCGAAAGCCUGACGAAGCGACGCCGUGUGUGUGAUGAAGGCCUUCGGGUUGUAAAGCACUUUCGCCUGGGAACGCGUACCAGGUAAAGAAGCACCGGCUAACUCCGUGCCAGCAGCUGUGGUAAUACGGAGGGUGCAAGCGUUAAUCGGAUUUAUUGGGCGUAAAGGGCGCGUAGGCGGAUAAGCAAGUUAAGUGUGAAAGACCGAAGCUCAACUUCGAAACGCGCUUAAAAACUACUUGUCUAGAGGGUGAGCGGAGAAAAGGGAAUUCCACGUGUAGCGGUGAAAUGCGUAGAUAUGUGGAAGAACACCGGUGGCGAAGGCGCUUUUCUAGCUUAUUCCUGACGCUGAGGCGCGAAAAGC
rnacentral:rRNA from 1 species